UCGAAAGACCGUAUUUCUUUAGCUUGUUUGGAUGAUUUAACCGAUUCUUACUUGUGUAAAAGUGUGAUACAUGUUUUUCUGUUAAAUAUCCUCUGUUUCUUUGGAUAAUUCUACUGGAACCGUCAACAGCGGACUUGAAUAGAUGAUGUUCGAGAUCAUAAAAUGGAUUGCCUGCACUCAUGCGUCAUCACAGUUUAAAGGAUUUCAACCUAAAAAGAAACCCUGCACAUUUGCAGCUGUACAGAAUGCAGUUCAUGCCAUAUGCUGUUAGAGUAAAUGAUGAAAGAUGUUCAAACCACAUGCAGUGUCAAAGAGUCCUAAGUCUGAAAUCAUGGUGCUUUUAUUAAGGAGAUCAGUGUUUGUUUUCUGUGCAUUGUUGACAUUUGUAGAACUGUUCGGUUUAUGACCAUCUCUCUGACAAUAACUCUGACAUUUGAAUUUCAAUUUGAGCGUCGGUUAAGAAAGCCAAAUUAUAUGCAUGUAAAACAUUAUACAAGUGUAAUAAAAACAUUGAUAAACUUAAAUUUAAACAAAGUUCAUGUACAUGUAUCUGUGAUCUUUGCAUUGAAAUUCAUAAAUGCUGUACAUGGAUACUUUUAAUGAUUGUCUCAUGGUAAUGGAAUAUUGAAUUGUUAAACAUUGUUGAGGAAUCACCUUGAAUAAAAAUAUUGUGAACUUGAUGAAGUAUUUUUCCUCAUUUAAACACUGAAAAUUUUAAGAUCAAUGGUCAAGGUCAAAUACAAAUUUUACUCAAGAAUGUGUUAUAAAUGCUGUAAGUACUGUGAAUUCUUAUGCAUGUUUUAUAAGAUCUAAGGAAUAUGUGAGGAGCAUUUUAAUAUUUCUCAAUCUGACACUGAUUAACAUUCAAGAUAAAAUGCCAAGGUCAAAUACAAAUUUGCUUUACUCAAGAAUGAGUUUUACAUGUAAAUACUGUGAAUUCUGAAUUUCUCAUGCAUGUUUUAUAAGAUCUUAGAAACAUGUGUGACCUCACUACAAUAUUUAUUAAUGUCAAUCUGUCAACCAAUAUCAAAUUUAGAAAAUAUAUUCUAUUAAACAUAAAUUAUUAAAUUUUCACACAUAAAAAAAAUUGGAAAUUGAAAUACAUUUGUACGGUGCUGAGCUGACCAUAAACUGAGGAGAAACUGAAGUUAAAUGAAAAAAAAAUUAACAUUUUGAUUAUCUUGAAUUUAGCAACUAUAUAUUUUGCAUGUUCGAAAAAUAUCACAUACAAUAGAUGAUGAACUGCAAUUUUAAAAAAGAAUAAAUUAUGAAUUUAAAUAAAAAAAAUCAUACAAUUAAUAUUGAAAUUAUAAGACAAUUUCACAUUUAAAAUGUUUAAUAUGUGAAAGUCAAGAUAUUCUAGAUCUACAUUUUGACUUCUCU